UGAAANUCAAAGGAAUUGACGGGGACCCGCACAAGCGGUGGAGCAUGUGGUUUAAUUCGAAGCAACGCGAAGAACCUUACCAGCUCUUGACAUCUUCUGAUCACUCUAGAGAUAGAGCUUUCCCUUCGGGGACAGAAUGACAGGUGGUGCAUGGUUGUCGUCAGCUCGUGUCGUGAGAUGUUGGGUUAAGUCCCAUAACGAGCGCAACCCUUAUUGUUAGUUGCCAGCAUUCAGUUGGGCACUCUAGCGAGACUGCCGGUGAUAAACCGGAGGAAGGUGGGGAUGACGUCAAAUCAUCAUGCCCCUUAUGAGCUGGGCUACACACGUGCUACAAUGGACGGUACAACGAGUUGCGAAGCCGCGAGGCUGAGCGAAUCUUUAUAAGCCGUUCUCAGUUCGGAUUGUUCUCUGCAACUCGAGAACAUGAAGCCGGAAUCGCUAGUAAUCGCGGAUCAGAAUGCCGCGGUGAAUACGUUCCCGGGUCUUGUACACACCGCCCGUCACACCACGAGAGUUCGUAACACCCGAAGCCGGUGGGGCAACCCUUUUAGGGAGCUAGCCGUCGAAGGUGGGAUGGAUGAUUGGGGUG
rnacentral:rRNA from 1 species